rnacentral:rRNA from 1 species
GACGAACGCUGGCGGCGUGCUUAACACAUGCAAGUCGAACGGAAAGGCCCUGCUUUUGUGGGGUGCUCGAGUGGCGAACGGGUGAGUAACACGUGAGUAACCUGCCCUUGACUUUGGGAUAACUUCAGGAAACUGGGGCUAAUACCGGAUAGGAGCUCCUGCUGCAUGGUGGGGGUUGGAAAGUUUCGGCGGUUGGGGAUGGACUCGCGGCUUAUCAGCUUGUUGGUGGGGUAGUGGCUACCAAGGCUUUGACGGGUAGCCGGCCUGGGAGGGUGACCGGCCACAUUGGGACUGGGAUACGGCCCAGGCUCCUACGGGAGGCAGCAGUGGGGAAUAUUGCACAAUGGGCGGAAGCCUGAUGCAGCAACGCCGCGUGCGGGAUGACGGCCUUCGGUUGUAAACCGCUUUCGCCUGUGACGAAGCGUGAGUGACGGUAAUGGGUAAAGAAGCACCGGCUAACUACGUG